GAUGAACGCUGGCGGCGUGCUUAACACAUGCAAGUCGAGCGAGGGAGCACCUUCGGGUGUGAACUAGCGGCGGACGGGUGAGUAACACGUGGGCAACCUGCCUUACAGAGGGGGAUAGCCUUCCGAAAGGAAGAUUAAUACCGCAUAUUAUGAUUUUUCUGCAUGGGAAAGUCAUGAAAGGAGCAAUCCGCUGUAAGAUGGGCCCGCGGUGCAUUAGCUAGUUGGUAAGGUAACGGCUUACCAAGGCGACGAUGCAUAGCCGAGUUGAGAGACUGAUCGGCCACAUUGGGACUGAGACACGGCCCAA
rnacentral:rRNA from 1 species